UACGAAGGGGGCUAGCGUUGCUCGGAAUCACUGGGCGUAAAGCGCACGUAGGCGGAUUGCUAAGUCAGGGGUGAAAUCCUGGAGCUCAACUCCAGAACUGCCCUUGAUACUGGCGGUCUCGAGUCCGGGAGAGGUGAGUGGAACUGCGAGUGUAGAGGUGAAAUUCGUAGAUAUUCGCAAGAACACCAGUGGCGAAGGCGGCUUACUGGUCCGGUUCUGACGCUGAGGCGCGAAAGCGUGGGGGAGCAAACAGG
rnacentral:rRNA from 1 species